rnacentral:rRNA from 1 species
UACGUAGGGUGCAAGCGUUAUCCGGAAUUAUUGGGCGUAAAGAGCUCGUAGGCGGUUUGUCGCGUCUGCUGUGAAAACUGGAGGCUCAACCUCCAGCCUGCAGUGGGUACGGGCAAACUAGAGUGUGGUAGGGGAGACUGGAAUUCCUGGUGUAGCGGUGGAAUGCGCAGAUAUCAGGAGGAACACCGGUGGCGAAGGCGGGUCUCUGGGCAAUAACUGACGCUGAGGAGCGAAAGCGUGGGGAGCGAACAGG